rnacentral:rRNA from 1 species
GGUCAAGCGAAUAAGUGCAUGUGGUGGAUGCCUUGGCGAUCACAGGCGAUGAAGGACGUAGUAGCUUGCGAAAAGCUGCGGGGAGCUGGCAAACGAGCUUUGAUCCGCAGAUGUCCGAAUGGGGAAACCCGGCCCGUAUGGGUCAUCCCUUGCUGAAUACAUAGGCAAGGGAGGCGAACGCAGUGAACUGAAACAUCUAAGUAGCUGCAGGAAAAGAAAUCAACCGAGAUUCCCAAAGUAGUGGCGAGCGAAAUGGGAACAGCCUUGUACUCUUUAGCAGUAUUGUUAGCGGAACGGAAUGGAAAGUCCGGCCAUAGUGGGUGAUAGCCCCGUACGCGAAAACAGUAUUGUGGAACUAGGUGUACGACAAGUAGGGCGGGACACGUGAAAUCCUGUCUGAAGAUGGGGGGACCAUCCUCCAAGGCUAAAUACUCGUGAUCGACCGAUAGUGAACCAGUAGUGAGGGAAAGGCGAAAGAACCCCGGGAGGGGAGUGAAAUAGAUCCUGAAACCGCAUGCAUACAAACAGUCGGAGCCUGGAAACGGGUGACGGCGUACCUUUUGUAUAAUGGGUCAGCGACUUACAUUCAGUGGCAAGCUUAACCGAUUAGGGAAGGCGUAGCGAAAGCGAGUCCGAAUAGGGCGUUCAGUCGCUGGGUGUAGACCCGAAACCAAGUGAUCUAUCCAUGGCCAGGUUGAAGGUGCGGUAACACGUACUGGAGGACCGAACCCACUAACGUUGAAAAGUUAGGGGAUGAGCUGUGGAUAGGGGUGAAAGGCUAAACAAACUUGGAAAUAGCUGGUUCUCUCCGAAAACUAUUUAGGUAGUGCCUCGUGUCUCACCUUCGGGGGUAGAGCACUGUCAUGGUUGGGGGGUCUAUUGCUGAUUACCCCGCCAUAGCAAACUCCGAAUACCGAAGAGUGCAAUCACGGGAGACAGACAUCGGGUGCUAACGUCCGGUGUCAAGAGGGAAACAACCCAGACCGCCAGCUAAGGUCCCUAAGAUUGGCUAAGUGGGAAACGAAGUGGGAAGGCUAAAACAGUCAGGAGGUUGGCUUAGAAGCAGCCACCCUUUAAAGAAAGCGUAAUAGCUCACUGAUCGAGUCGUCCUGCGCGGAAGAUGUAACGGGGCUAAGCCAGUCACCGAAGCUGCGGAUGCACGUAAGUGCAUGGUAGGAGAGCGUUCUGUAAGCCUGUGAAGGUGUCUUGUAAAGGAUGCUGGAGGUAUCAGAAGUGCGAAUGCUGACAUGAGUAGCGAUAAAGGGGGUGAAAGGCCCCCUCGCCGUAAGCCCAAGGUUUCCUACGCAACGUUCAUCGGCGUAGGGUGAGUCGGCCCCUAAGGCGAGGCAGAGAUGCGUAGCUGAUGGGAAGCAGGUUAAUAUUCCUGCACCGUCGUAUGAUGCGAUGGGGGGACGGAUCGCGGAAGGUUGUCCGGGUGUUGGAAGUCCCGGUCCCUACAUUGGAGAUGGCACUUAGGCAAAUCCGGGUGCGUGAUUCAAGGGUGUGGGGCGAGCGACGUUAGGUCGCGAAGCAAUUGGAAGUGGUUCCAAGAAAAGCCUCUAAGCUUCAGUCAUACGAGACCGUACCGCAAACCGACACAGGUGGGCGAGAUGAGUAUUCUAAGGCGCUUGAGAGAACUCGGGAGAAGGAACUCGGCAAAUUGGUACCGUAACUUCGGGAUAAGGUACGCCCUUGUAGUUUGACUGGCUCGCGCCAGAAGGAUGAAGGGGUUGCAAUAAAAUGGUGGCUGCGACUGUUUAAUAAAAACACAGCACUCUGCAAACACGAAAGUGGACGUAUAGGGUGUGACGCCUGCCCGGUGCCGGAAGAUUAAAUGAUGGGGUGCAAGCUCUUGAUUGAAGUCCCGGUAAACGGCGGCCGUAACUAUAACGGUCCUAAGGUAGCGAAAUUCCUUGUCGGGUAAGUUCCGACCUGCACGAAUGGCGUAACGAUGGCCACACUGUCUCCUCCCGAGACUCAGCGAAGUUGAAGUGUUUGUGAUGAUGCAAUCUCCCCGCGGCUAGACGGAAAGACCCCAUGAACCUUUACUGUAGCUUUGCAUUGGACUUUGAACCGAUCUGUGUAGGAUAGGUGGGAGGCUUUGAAACCGGGACGCUAGUUUCGGUGGAGCCGACCUUGAAAUACCACCCUGGUUUGUUUGAGGUUCUAACCUUGGCCCGUGAAUCCGGGUCGGGGACAGUGCAUGGUAGGCAGUUUGACUGGGGCGGUCUCCUCCCAAAGUGUAACGGAGGAGUUCGAAGGUACGCUUGGUACGGUCGGACAUCGUACCUAAAGUGCAAUGGCAAAAGCGUGCUUAACUGCGAGACCGACAAGUCGAGCAGGUGCGAAAGCAGGACAUAGUGAUCCGGUGGUUCUGUAUGGAAGGGCCAUCGCUCAACGGAUAAAAGGUACUCUGGGGAUAACAGGCUGAUACCGCCCAAGAGUUCAUAUCGACGGCGGUGUUUGGCACCUCGAUGUCGGCUCAUCUCAUCCUGGGGCUGUAGCCGGUCCCAAGGGUAUGGCUGUUCGCCAUUUAAAGAGGUACGUGAGCUGGGUUUAAAACGUCGUGAGACAGUUUGGUCCCUAUCUGCCGUGGGCGUUGGAAUCUUGACGGGGGCUGCUCCUAGUACGAGAGGACCGGAGUGGACGUACCGCUGGUGUACCUGUUGUCUCGCCAGAGGCAUCGCAGGGUAGCUAUGUACGGAAGAGAUAACCGCUGAAAGCAUCUAAGCGGGAAACUCGCCUGAAGAUGAGGAUUCCCUGGAGACUUGAUCUCCCUGAAGGGUCGUUCGAGACCAGGACGUUGAUAGGCUGGGUGUGGAAGCGCAGUAAUGCGUUCAGCUAACCAGUACUAAUUGCCCGUGCGGCUUGAUCCU